rnacentral:rRNA from 1 species
AGUUUGAUCAUGGCUCAGAUUGAACGCUGGCGGGAUGUUCUACACAUGCAAGUCGAACGGCAGCACGGACUUCUUGGUCUGGUGGCGAGUGGCGAACGGGUGAGUAAUGUAUCGGAACGUGCCUAGUAGCGGGGAUAACUACGCGAAAGCGUAGCUAAUACCGCAUAUUGCCCUUCGGGGGAAAGCGGGGACCUUCGGGCCUCGCAUGCCUUAUUAGAGCGGCCGAUAUCGGAUUAGCUAGUUGGUGGGGUAACGGCUCACCAAGGCGACGAUCCGUAGCUGGUUUGAGAGGACGACCAGCCACUGGGACUGGAGACACGGCCCAGACUCUACGGGAGGCAGCAGUGGGGAAUUUUGGACAAUGGGGAAAACCCUGAUCCAGCCAUCCCGCGUGCGAUGGAAGGCCUUCGGGUUGUAAAGCACUUUUGGCAGGAAAGAAACGGCACGGGAUAAUACCCCGUGCAACUGACGUGCCUGCAGAAUAAGCACCGGUUAACUACGUGCCAGCAGCCGCGGUAAUACGUAGGGUGCAAGCGUUAAUCGGAAUUACCGGGCAAAGCGUGCGCAGGCGGUUCGGAAAGAAAGAUGUGAAAUCCCAGAGCUUAACUUUGGAACUACAUUUUUAAACUACCGAGCUAGAGUGUGUCAGAGGGAGGUGGAAUUCCGCGUGUAGCAGUGAAAUGCGUAGAUAUGCGGAGGAACACCGAUGGAAGGCAGCCUCCCGGGAUAACACUGACGCUCAUGCACGAAAGCGUGGGGAGCAAACAGGAUUAGAUACCCUGGUAGUCCACGCCCCAAACGAUGUCAACUAGCUGUUGGGGCCUUCGGGCCUUGGUAGCGCAGCUAACGCGUGAAGUUGACCGCCCUGGGGAGUACGGUCGCAAGAUUAAAACUCAAAGGAAUUGACGGGGACCCGCACAAGCGGUGGAUGAUGUGGAUUAAUUCGAUGCAACGCGAAAAACCUUACCUACUCCUGACAUGUCUGGAAUCCGAAGAGAUUUGGGAGUGCUCGCAAGAGAACCGGAACACAGGUGCUGCAUGGCUGUCGUCAGCUCGUGGCCGUGAGAUGUUGGGUUAAGUCCCGCAACGAGCGCAACCCUUGUCAUUAUUGCUACGAAAGGCACUCUAAUGAGACUGCCGGUGACAAACCGGAGGAAGGUGGGGAUGACGUCAAGUCCUCAUGGCCCUUAUGGGUAGGGCUUCACACGUCAUACAAUGGUCGGGACAGAGGGUCGCCAACCCGCGAGGGGGAGCUAAUCCCAGAAACCCGAUCAGUCCGGAUCGCAGUCUGCAACUCGACUGCGUGAAGUCGGAAUCGCUAGGCAAUCGCGGAUCAGCAUGUCGCGGUGAAUACGUUCCCGGGUCUUGUACACACCGCCCGUCACACCAUGGGAGUGGGUUUACCAGAAGUAGUUAGCCUAACCGUAAGGAGGGCGAUUACCACGGUAGGAUUCAUGACUGGGGUGAAGUCGUAACAAGGUAG